UACAGAGGGUGCAAGCGUUAAUCGGAAUUACUGGGCGUAAAGGGUGCGUAGGUGGAUAUAUAAGUCAGAUGUGAAAUCCCUGGGCUUAACUUAGGGACUGCAUUUGAUACUGUGUAUCUAGAGUAUGGUAGAGGUAAGUGGAAUUUCCGGUGUAGCGGUGAAAUGCGUAGAUAUCGGAAGGAACACCAGUGGCGAAGGCGACUUACUGGACUGAUACUGACACUGAGGCACGAAAGCGUGGGGAGCGAACAGG
rnacentral:rRNA from 1 species